rnacentral:rRNA from 1 species
AUGAACGCUAGCUACAGGCUUAACACAUGCAAGUCGAGGGGCAGCGGGAUUGAAGCUUGCUUCAAUUGCCGGCGACCGGCGCACGGGUGAGUAACGCGUAUCCAACCUUCCGCUUACUCGGGGAUAGCCUUUCGAAAGAAAGAUUAAUACCCGAUGGUAUCUUAAGCACGCAUGAGAUUAAGAUUAAAGAUUUAUCGGUAAGCGAUGGGGAUGCGUUCCAUUAGGCAGUUGGCGGGGUAACGGCCCACCAAACCUACGAUGGAUAGGGGUUCUGAGAGGAAGGUCCCCCACAUUGGAACUGAGACACGGUCCAAACUCCUACGGGAGGCAGCAGUGAGGAAUAUUGGUCAAUGGGCGAGAGCCUGAACCAGCCAAGUAGCGUGAAGGAUGACGGCCCUACGGGUUGUAAACUUCUUUUGUGCGGGAAUAAAGGAACCUACGUGUAGGUUUUUGCAUGUACCGUAACGAAUAAGCAUCGGCUAACUCCGUGCCAGCAGCCGCGGUAAUACGGAGGAUGCGAGCGUUAUCCGGAUUUAUUGGGUUUAAAGGGAGCGCAGGCGGGUGCUUAAGUCAGUUGCGCAAGUUUGCGGCUCAACCGUAAAAUUGCAGUUGAUACUGGGCGCCUUGAGUGCAGCAUAGGUAGGCGGAAUUCGUGGUGUAGCGGUGAAAUGCUUAGAUAUCACGAAGAACCCCGAUUGCGAAGGCAGCCUGCUAAGCCGCCACUGACGUUGAGGCUCGAAAGUGCGGGUAUCAAACAGGAUUAGAUACCCUGGUAGUCCGCACGGUAAACGAUGGAUACUCGCUGUUGGCGAUAGACAGUCAGCGGCCAAGCGAAAGCGUUAAGUAUCCCACCUGGGGAGUACGCCGGCAACGGUGAAACUCAAAGGAAUUGACGGGGGCCCGCACAAGCGGUGGAGCAUGUGGUUUAAUUCGAUGCAACGCGAAGAACCUUACCAAGUCUUGACAUCCCACUGACCGGACAGUAAUGUGUCCUUUCCUUCGGGACAGUGGUGACAGGUGGUGCAUGGUUGUCGUCAGCUCGUGCCGUGAGGUGUCGGCUUAAGUGCCAUAACGAGCGCAACCCUUGCUGCCAGUUACUAACAGGUCAUGCUGAGGACUCUGGCAGGACUGCCAUCGUAAGAUGCGAGGAAGGUGGGGAUGACGUCAAAUCAGCACGGCCCUUACGUCCGGGGCUACACACGUGUUACAAUGGGGAGUACAGAGGGCAGCUACCGGGCGACCGGAUGCGAAUCCCGAAAGCUCCUCUCAGUUCGGACUGGAGUCUGCAACCCGACUCCACGAAGCUGGAUUCGCUAGUAAUCGCGCAUCAGCCACGGCGCGGUGAAUACGUUCCCGGGCCUUGUACACACCGCCCGUCAAGCCAUGAAAGCCGGGGGUACCUGAAGUACGUAACCGCGAGGAUCGUCCUAGGGUAAAACCGGUAAUUGGGGCU